AAGCAUUCUUUCUUUAAUCUCAGUAGAGUUACAUGAUAUAUGAUUUCUGCAUUCAGAAACUGGACUGCUUACUGAGGCAAUAUUAUGUGCCCAUCGCUGUGCUAAGCAUGGAACUGUAUAAGUGAUCAAAAUGAGAGAGUCCUGCCAUUGCUUAGCUUAUAAAGAACAGAGCAAAGAAAUAAUUGAGCUUCAAAUGGUUCCUUCACCUGAAAUAUGUAAUACAUCCCUGUCAACAUAUGGCAGUGUGGUUUCCCCCAAACCUGUAAACUGACUCAGAAAAUAAUCACCCUGCCGAUACAGAAAAUUGUG